rnacentral:rRNA from 1 species
AACUUUAAGCGGUAGAUCACUCGGCUCGUGCGUCGAUGAAGAGUGGAGCCAACUGUGUGUGUGUGUGUAUUAAUGUGAACUGCAUACUGCUUUGAACAACGAUGUCUUGAGUGGAUAUUGCGGCUACGGGAUAUCCUAUGACCACCCACGUCUGUCCGAGGGCGG